GACGAACGCUGGCGGCGUGCUUAACACAUGCGAGUCGAACGGAAAGGCCCUGCUUUUGUGGGGUGCUCGAGUGGCGAACGGGUGAGUAACACGUGAGUAACCUGCCCUUGACUUUGGGAUAACUUCAGGAAACUGGGGCUAAUAUCGCAUAGGAGCUCCUGCUGCAUGGUGGGGGUUGGAAAGUUUCGGCGGUUGGGGAUGGACUCGCGGCUUAUCAGCUUGUUGGUGGGGUAGUGGCUUACCAAGGCUUUGACGGGUAGCCGGCCUGAGAGGGUGACCGGCCACAUUGGGACUGAGAUACGGCCCAGACUCCUACGGGAGGCAGCAGUGGGGAAUAUUGCACAAUGGGCGGAAGCCUGAUGCAGCAACGCCGCGUGCGGGAUGACGGCCUUCGGGUUGUAAACCGCUUUCGCCUGUGACGAAGCGUGAGUGGCGGUAAUGGGUAAAGAAGCACCGGCUAACUACGUG
rnacentral:rRNA from 1 species